AUUGAACGCUGGCGGCAGGCCUAACACAUGCAAGUCGAACGAGUGGCGGACGGGUGAGUAAUGUCUGGGAAUCUGCCUGAUGGAGGGGGAUAACUACUGGAAACGGUAGCUAAUACCGCAUACCAUCAGAUGUACCCAGAUGGGAUUAGCUUGUUGGUGGGGUAACGGCUCACCAAGGCGAUGAUCCCGAGCUGGUCUGAGAGGAUGACCGGCUACACUGCAACUGAGAGACUGCCCAGACGCCCAGGCUAGGAAGCAGUGGGGAAGAUUGGAAUAUGGGAGAAAGCCUGAUGCAGCCAUGCAGCGAGUAUGCAGAGGGCAUGCGGGUUUUAAAGUAGUAUCCGUGUUGAGGCGUUACCUGCAGAAGAAGCACCGGCUAACUCCGUGCCAGCCGCCGCGGUAAUAC
rnacentral:rRNA from 1 species